rnacentral:rRNA from 1 species
AGGGAAAGGUGAAAAGCACCCCGGGAGGGGAGUGAAACAGUACCUGAAACCGUGCGCCCACGAGCAGUCGGAGCACCUUUAUGGUGUGACGGCGUGCCUUUUGUAGAAUGAGCCAGCGAGUCGCUGGCGCGGGGCGAGGUUAACCGAAAGGGAGCCGGAGCGAAAGCGAGCCUUAACAGGGCGACUUGAGUCCCGCGCCGCGGACGCGAAGCCGGGUGAGCUAUCCGUGGGCAGGCUGAAGCGGGGGUAAGACCCCGUGGAGGGCCGAACGCACGUCGGUUGAAAACGGCGGCGAUGACCUGCGGAUAGGGGUGAAAGGCCAAUCAAACCCGGAGAUAUCUCGUUCUCCCCGAAAUAGCUUUAGGGCUAGCGUCGCGCGUUCACCGCCGGAGGUAGAGCACCGGAUGGACGAGGGGGCUUCGCCGCCUACCGAAUCCAACCGAACUCCGAAUGCCGGCGGCCCAGAGCGCGGCAGUCAGAGCAUGUGGGCUAAGCUGUGUGCUCGAGAGGGAAACAGCCCGGACCGCCCGCUAAGGUCCCCAAGUUCCAGCCGAGUGGCAAAGGAUGUGCGUCCGCCCAGACAACCAGGAUGUUGGCUUAGAAGCAGCCAUCCAUUCAAAGAGUGCGUAACAGCUCACUGGUCGAGUGGACAUGCGCCGACAAUACACGGGGCUAAGCUGGACACCGAAGCGGCGGGAUUUUAAUUCAUUAGAAUCGGUAGGGGAGCUUCCCAUGGGCGGAGAAGCCGUCAGGGCGACCGACGGUGGAGCGCAUGGGAGUGAGAAUGCUGGCAUGAGUAGCGAGAGACGAGAGAGUAACUCGUCCGCCGUGAACCCGAGGUUUCCUGGGCAAGGCUAAUCCUCCCAGGGUCAGUCGGGGGCUAAGGCGAGGCCGGUAGGCGUAGCCGACGCGCAGCAGGCAGACAUUCCUGCACCGCGCACGCGGCGCUACGACCGACGGGGCGACGGAUGGGGGUGGCUCGGCGGGGUUCUGGACGUCCCCGUGAUGGAGCGCGGCCCGCGGACCAGGGAAAUCCGGUCCGCAUCGAGGGCGAGGCUCCGGACGAAGCACUUAAGCGAAGCGAGUGAGCCCGAGGUCCCUAGAAAAACCCCUAGGCAGGCGCGUGCGCGCCCGUACCGCAAACCGACACAGGUGGGUGGGUAGAACAUACCGAGGCGAUCGGGUCAACCAUGGUCAAGGAACUCGGCACAAUGGCCCCGUAACUUCGGGAGAAGGGGUGCCCGCGCGUACGUGAACCGGCUCGCCCGGGGAGCGGAGGCGGGCCGCAGUGGAGAGGCCCAAGCGACUGUUUACCAAAAACACAGGACUCUGCAAAGCCGCAAGGCGACGUAUAGGGUCUGACGCCUGCCCGGUGCCGGAAGGUCACGCGGAGGAGUUAGCGCAUCGCGCGAAGCCCCGAAGCCAAGCCCCGGUAAACGGCGGCCGUAACUAUAACGGUCCUAAGGUAGCGAAAUUCCUUGUCGGGUAAGUUCCGACCUGCACGAAAGGCGCAACGACUUGGGCGCUGUCUCGACCAUGGACCCGGUGAAAUUGCACUGGUCGUGAAGAUGCGACUUACCCGCGGAAGGACGGAAAGACCCCGUGAACCUUCACUGCAGCUUGGCAUUGGCCGCUGGUCCCGCGUGUAGAGGAUAGGCAGGAGGCAUCGAUCCGGAGGCGCCAGCCCCCGGGGAGCCGCCCUUGGAAUACUGCCCUCGCGCGACCGGCGUCCUAACCCGAGGCCGUCAACCGGCUCGGGGACCGUGCCAGGCGGGCAGUUUGACUGGGGCGGUCGCCUCCUAAAGGGUAACGGAGGCGCGCGAAGGUCCGCUCGGGACGGUCGGCAACCGUCCUUUUGAAUGCAAGAGUACAAGCGGGCUUGACUGCGAGGCCCACAAGCCGAGCAGGUGCGAAAGCAGGCUCUAGUGAUCCGGCGGCCCCGAGUGGGUGGGCCGUCGCUCAACGGAUAAAAGGUACUCCGGGGAUAACAGGCUGA